CUAGUGAGGGGGCGGGGGCAGGCGGUGGCCUUUCCCAGCUGUAACCCAUUUCUUUCUUUUUUUUUUUUUUGUGACCCAUUUCCAUUCCUAGGUGGCCGGAGGGGAGGUUGGGAGGGGCUUUAUCACCCUGAUUGUAUGCACCCUGAGACACACAGCUGAGAGCCUGCAGGGAGCCCCGAGGGGAAGGAGCCGGAGUGGAGGGAAGAUCAGAACCCGAGGGGUUGGUGAUUCUUGGUGAUUUGCAGAGAGGUGAGCUAGAGUGACCUGAUUCCCUGUGGAGACUGUUAAGAAGGUUGUUUAUACUCUGUGGGUGGAACAUCCCCGAGACUGAUUUAUCUUUUGUUUUUGGCUUCCAGGAGGUUUCUUUUGAGAAGUGUGGAGAGGUCAGCAAGCCUUGGCUUCCACCCUGUGGGGUCCGCAGCCUGCAGGCCCUGAGCACCUGCCCUGGACGAACAGGGUCCCUUCAGCUUCCCUGUCUCAGCCAGGGGCAGGUCAAGCAAAGAAGAUCAUGAGAAUGCAGUGGCCGGAGGACAGGCAGAGAGGACAGCAGGCCCAGCGGUGGUCAAGGAGAAGAGGACGAUUAUGGCUGGAGGGCAGAGCAUGGCCAGCAGGUGUAGAGGGAAGAAGCAAGGAUAGACUGGCCAGAGAGCCGAGUGAGUCCUGUCUGCCUUAGCCAGAGGCACUAGAAGCACACAACUGGGGCAGUGUGAUAUUCUUCAAGAUGAAUUACACAACCACACAGGUGAGCAAAGCUUCUCCACAGCCAUGCCUGAAAAUAUCUCUGUGUAUGAUAACAAGUAUUGACUGGGAUCCAGGCUCUAUAAUGGCAGUCAGGAGAUGCUUGGACUUGGGGUCUGAAUCUUAAAGCAAGAGCCAAGGGCAAUGGUUUUUAACCUUGACUGCACAAUAAAAUCACCAGUGCAGUUUUUGGUUUUGCUUUA
rnacentral:lncRNA from 12 species